rnacentral:tRNA from 1 species
UGUUCACGCCUGGGAUCGAACCAGGGACCUUGCGCGUGUGAAGCGCUACACCACGGAAAC